CACUGUCUGAAGCGCUGCUGUCAGAGGAGGAGGAGGAGGAGGAGGAGGAAGAGGAUGAACUGGAAUCCUGUGUACAAGAAGAAAAGCUUCUUCUUUUUCUUUUCCUUCUUGCCUUUGUCCUCCUCCUCGCUGUCUGAAGAUGGGGAGCUGUGGAAUGAGUACAAGUCAACCUGAAGGAGAGAGAGACUGCAAUUGUUACAACUUGACAGAUGGAUAUGACGGAGUAAAAUUAGAUGAUCGUCCUGCAGGGGCUCUGGGGUCCGUCUUGGCUGCGUUAGUGGUGUCGGUUGAAGACAGCCCUCCAUGCUCUUCCAGCUUCUGUUCACUCCUCCCAGGCUGGAGUUCAUCCAGCGUGCUCAGGACAACUUGUCCUCCCUCUCCAUCUCCAGGCCCUCCCCCUGGAGCUACACAAACCAGCAUAGAUUACCGUACUACACAGUUAUAUGUUCCAUUCACAAAUCAAUAUGUUUAUUGUAUUGUAUUGUACGGGUUGUACUAUAAUUUCAGUCAUCUUAGCCUUGUACAAAUCACCUAUCCUAUUGUACAAAUCACCUACACACUGAGGCUUUUGCGGUGCGAACAACAUUAAAAACAAUACAAAAAAACAAUAACCAGAGUAUCAAAAAUGCAUAGGUACUGAUCAUGUAUGAACGGCAUAAGUGUUUUAAUAUUAUGGAUAAAACAUUAUCUGAUGGCUUUCCUUAUUUCUCACACUGUACUCCAUCCCAUGUAAUGAUGCAUUCGCCUCAGAGUACAUUUGUAGCCAUAAUGCACAAACCAAAUUGACUACAUCUACAUAUUGUCUGUUCUAAGUAGAAGAAGUAGCAGAUACAUUCAUUUUGCAGGUUGACUGACAACAACAGUGGAGAAUUGCAUGAUGUUUUUUGAUUUCAGAUGUUUUUGGACCACACCCCUGCAUGAUUGCAAAGAAAUACUAAUAAUUGUACAGCUUUAAACUACAGCUCACUGCUUCAAAUGUCAUAUAUCUACAUUUUCCAAUUACACCUAAAGUAGAAUGGGGUGGAAUAUACAGUUGGUGAUAAUGAGAAAUGAUUGUUACUUUUACCGGGGAACAUCCUUAAAGAACGAGACCCAUUACAUGUUUAGACCACAUCAAGCUUUAAACAUACAGUAUGCCGGUAAUCUAUAAAGGCAUGUGCGCUAAUGUCACCAAAGGUGCGCUAAAGUCACCAAAGGUGCGCUACAGUCACCAAAGGUGAGCAAAAGUCACUAAAAGUGCAUAGAUCACCAUACCUUUGGGUCGGUUGAACUCCAUUCAACUCAACAGCCGCUCCAGUUACACCUUGC
ensembl:lncRNA